UACGGGGGGGGCAAGCGUUGUUCGGAAUUACUGGGCGUAAAGGGCGCGUAGGCGGUUGGAUAAGUCAGCUGUGAAAACCCGCAGCUCAACUGUGGGCUUGCAGCUGAUACGGGCAGGCUUGAGUUCGGUAGGGGAGACUGGAAUUCCUGGUGUAGCGGUGAAAUGCGCAGAUAUCGGGAGGAACACCGGUGGCGAAGGCGGUUCUCUGGGCCUGUGCUGACGCUGAGGAGCGAAAGCGUGGGGAGCGAACAGG
rnacentral:rRNA from 1 species